UACAGAGGUCCCAAGCGUUGUUCGGAUUCAUUGGGCGUAAAGGGUGCGUAGGUGGCGCGGUAAGUCGGGUGUGAAAUUUCGGAGCUUAACUCCGAAACUGCAUUCGAUACUGCGGUGCUUGAGGACUGGAGAGGAGACUGGAAUUCAUGGUGUAGCAGUGAAAUGCGUAGAGAUCAUGAGGAAGACCAGUGGCGAAGGCGGGUCUCUGGACAGUUCCUGACACUGAGACACGAAGGCCAGGGGAGCAAACGGG
rnacentral:rRNA from 1 species